AACGAACGCUGGCGGCAUGCCUAACACAUGCAAGUCGAACGAGACCUUCGGGUCUAGUGGCGCACGGGUGCGUAACGCGUGGGAACCUGCCCUUAGGUUCGGAAUAACUCCCCGAAAGGGGUGCUAAUACCGGAUAAUGUCUUCGGACCAAAGAUUUAUCGCCUUUGGAUGGGCCCGCGUUGGAUUAGCUAGUUGGUAGGGUAAAAGCCUACCAAGGCGACGAUCCAUAGCUGGUCUGAGAGGAUGAUCAGCGACACUGGGACUGAGACACGGCCCAGACUCCUACGGGAGGCAGCAGUGGGGAAUAUUGGACAAUGGGCGAAAGCCUGAUCCAGCAAUGCCGCGUGAGUGAUGAAGGCCUUAGGGUUGUAAAGCUCUUUUACCCGGGAUGAUAAUGACAGUACCGGGAGAAUAAGCUCCGGCUAACUCCGUG
rnacentral:rRNA from 1 species